rnacentral:misc_RNA from 1 species
AGAAGCACUUAAUAAGAAACAAUCCAACCACAGUUGCAGCAGUCAUAAAAAGCCAAGGCUCUCAACCUCACAAUCAAACAGUUCUCUGCUUAGGAUUCGAAUACUUCUAAAACACAAAAAAUAUUAUCUUGGAAAAGUGGACUUGUCAUCUGUUUUUCUCCUCUUCUUAUUUUGCACUCUUUUGUUCCUGGUAAUAUUCUAUUUUCACACCUUUCGCGAGAGGGACUCGUCUGUUCACAGGAAGAAAUUAAGAAGAAACUAAAAGAAAAACAAGAAGCAAUGAGCAAGGCAGAGCUAAUAUUCGUUCCAGCUCCUGGAGUUGGUCACAUAGUUUCCACCAUUGAAUUCGCUAAGAGUCUGAUCCUCCGUGAUAAUCAAAUACUGGUUACCAUUCUCGUCAUGAAACUACCCAUCACUCCUUUUAUUGAUGCAUACACCAAAUCACUCACUGCUUCCCAACCCAAUAUCCGUCUCAUUAACCUCCCUCAAGUGGAUCUUCCUUCUCCUGAACUUUUGGCCAAAUCUGUAGAAAGCUAUAUUUGUGCCGUUAUCGAAAGUCACAAACCCCAUGUGCAAAAAAUUGUCUCUGAUAUCAUAUCUUCCCGAUCUAGCUCAGAUUCGUUUCCAGUUGCAGGGAUAAUUCUUGAUUUCUUUUGCGUGUCCAUGAUUGACAUUGGAGAUGAAUUGGGCUUGCCUUCUUUUAUAUUCUUGACAUCCGGUUUAGGAUUCUUGAGUCUCAUGCUUUAUCUACCCUCACGCCAUGAACAAAUUGGCACUGAAUUUAGCUUUUCUGAUUCUGAGGUUUUAAUUCCAGGUUUUGCCAAUCCUGUUCCUCCAAGAGUUUUGCCUGAAGCUGUGUUCAACAAGCAUGGUGGUUAUGCUGCUUAUGUUAAGGUAGCUCAAAGGUUCAAGGACGCAAAAGGUAUUAUAGUUAAUACAUUGACCGAGCUCGAAUCUCAUGCACUUGAGUCCCUUCGUAAUGGCCAGAACCCUAAGAUUUACCCGGUUGGACCGGUGCUGAACUUGAAGGGUCAUCCACAUCCAGACAUGGACCAUGGUCAAUGGGACAAGACCAAAAAGUGGCUCGAUGAGCAACCUGAAUCAUCUGUGGCGUUCUUGUGUUUUGGAAGCGCAGGGGCAUUUAGUAUAUCCCAAGUGAAAGAAAUAGCUCUCGGUCUGGAGCAGAGUGGGUACAGAUUCUUGUGGUCCAUGAGAGUUCCUCCAGUACAAGAUGAAGUCCCUAAAUUCAAGAACCCAGAGGAGAUGUUGCCAGAAGGAUUCUUGGAAGGAAUAGAAGGGAGAGGAAUGAUAUGUGGGUGGGUACCACAGGUAGAGGUGCUAGCCCACAAGGCCAUAGGAGGGUUCGUAUCUCAUUGUGGGUGGAAUUCUAUCUUGGAGAGCUUUUGGUAUGGGGUGCCUAUUGUGACCUUGCCUAUAUAUGCAGAGCAGCAGCUUAAUGCAUUUACAAUGGUGAAGGAACUGGGGCUGGCAGUGGAGCUGAAAUUGGAUUACAGGGCAAAUGGAGAUCUUGCGAAGGCAGAGGAGGUGGAAAGAGCUGUGAAAUGUGUAAUGGAAAGUGAUAAUGAGGUAAGAAAGAAGGUGAAAGACGUGGCAGGAAUGGCGAGGAAGGCAGGGAUGGAAGGGGGAUCUUCAUCAACUUCAAUCUUAGAGUUGAUCGAGGACUUUAAAAAAUAUGUGUGAAUGUUGGUAUUGAAAUAGAAAAGGGGAAAUAAGGUGAUUGCCAGAUAUAAAAACAAUAAAUUUCUAAUUAGGAAUCUCUUUCUUGUUUUGUUUUGAGAAACGUGUGUUCAUGAGAUCAUUCUUAAUUUUCUUGCUUUUAUAUAUUUAUUGCGAGGGAUCAAGUCUGUCAAAAAUUUCAGUUGGCGUUCUUUCCGUUUUAUAAAAAAAUAGAAGAGAAAUCAAUGCCUUAGUGAUUUACAAGGCGU